GAUGAAGAACGCAGCGAAAUGCGAUAAGUAAUGUGAAUUGCAGAAUUCAGUGAAUCAUCGAAUCUUUGAGCGCACAUUGCGCCCGCCAGUAUUCUGGCGGGCAUGCCUGUUCGAGCGUCAUUUCAACCAUCAAGCCCCCGGGCUUGUGUUGGGGACCUGCGGCUGCCGCAGGCCCUGAAAAGCAGUGGCGGGCUCGCUGUCACACCGAGCGUAGUAGAUUUUAUCUCGCUCUGGGCGUGCUGCGGGUUCCGGCCGUUAAACCACCCUUUUAACCCAAGGUUGACCUCGGAUCAGGUAGGAAGACCCGCUGAACUUAAGCAUAUCAAUAAGCGGAGGA
rnacentral:misc_RNA from 1 species